rnacentral:rRNA from 1 species
GUGACCUGCGGAAGGAUCAUU